GAUGAACGCUGACAGAAUGCUUAACACAUGCAAGUCGAUGGGGAAGUGGUGCUUGCACCAUGGCAACCAUGGCGGACGGGUGAGUAACGCGUAAGGGACUUACCUGCAGGACUGGGAUAACAGGGGGAAACUCCUGACAAGACCGGAUAAUGUCAUGGAGCUGCAUGGCUUUAUGAUGAAAGGAGACGCCUGCGGAGAGCCUUGCGUCCUAUUAGCUAGUUGGUGAGGUAAUGGCUCACCAAGGCGAAGAUAGGUAGCCGGCCUGAGAGGGUGGACGGCCACAAGGGGACUGAGAUACGGCCCUUACUCCUACGGGAGGCAGCAGUGGGGAAUAUUGGACGAUGGGGGCAACCCUGAUCCAGCAAUUCUGUGUGCACGAAGAAGGUUUUCGGAGUGUAAAGUGCUUUCAGCAGGGAAGAAGUAAGUGACGGUACCUGCAGAAGAAGCGACGGCUAAAUACGUG
rnacentral:rRNA from 1 species